AGAAAAUUUUGGCAAACCAAUUGAAAAAUUGGGACGCAAAGCUAUGGGUCUAAAGACAAGUUGUCUAUGAUUGCCAGGUUGCUAGU
rfam:Pelosinus sp. TFO1, complete genome.